UGUACCCACAUCCACACACAGCAGCAGGCUGUAGAUCCUUUUCGGGGACAGACUGGGACAAAUAAACCGUGGGAAAUGUCUUGCUAAUAUGGAGCUGCUGUUGCUUCGGGAACCAAAGGCGGGCGCUGAGAGCGGCAGCUCGAUCCUCCUCAGAGUGUCGGUCAGCUCGGCGUGAAGUGCGUCGGCCGUCAGCAGAGAGGUCGGCGCCGGCUCUUGUUACCUGUCAACAUGGCGGCUAUGAUGAUCACCUCGCUGACGCAGUCAAACUCGCACGAAGCCAGCAGAGUCUUGGCCAACUGGGGCUUCAAGGGGAACUCGGACAUGAUGAUGCCCACCUCGGACAGGUUGCC